rnacentral:rRNA from 1 species
UGUACGUACUGGUAUUAUUGGUUUCUCCUUUCUGACGAAUCAUAAUGCCAUUAAUUUGGUGCUUUGGGGAAUCAGGACUGUUACUUUGAAAAAAUUAGAGUGUUUAAAGCAGGCUCACGCUUGAAUACAUUAGCAUGGAAUAACGAAAUAGGACGUUUGAUUUUAUUUUGUUGGUUUCUAGGAUCGACGUAAUGAUUAAUAGGGAUAGUUGGGGGCAUUAGUAUUCAAUUGUCAGAGGUGAAAUUCUUGGAUUUAUUGAAGACUAACUACUGCGAAAGCAUUUGCCAAGGAUGUUUUCAUUAAUCAAGAACGAAAGUUAGGGGAUCGAAGACGAUCAGAUACCGUCGUAGUCUUAACCAUAAACUAUGCCGACUAGGGAUCGGAUGAUGUUAAUUUUUUAAUGACUCAUUCGGCGCCUUACG